UACGUAGGCAGCAAGCGUUGUUCGGAGUUACUGGGCGUAAAGGGUGCGUAGGCGGUUGUUUAAGUUUGGUGUGAAAUCUCCCGGCUCAACUGGGAGGGUGCGCCGAAUACUGAAUGACUAGAGUGCGGGAGAGGAGAGUGGAAUUCCUGGUGUAGCGGUGAAAUGCGUAGAUAUCGAGAGGAACACCGGUGGCGAAGGCGGCCUUCUGGACAGUGACUGACGCUGAGACGCGAAAGCGUGGGGAGCAAACAGG
rnacentral:rRNA from 1 species